rnacentral:RNase_P_RNA from 1 species
UAAGACAGAUAAUCGCUGCUGCUAUUGCCGAAAGGACGCAGGAGAGGAAAGUCCGGGCUUCGCAGGGCAGGAUGCCGGCUAACGGCCGGUGGAGGUGACUCCCAGGAAAGUGCAACAGAAAUAAAACCGCCUUUUUAGGUAAGGAUGAAAUGGCAGUGUAAGAGACUACCGCUUUGGUGGUAACAUCAAAGGUCAGUGUAAACCCCAUCCGAAGCAAGACCGAGCAGAAAGCAUAUGGUGACCCGCCAGCUUUCGGGUAGGUUGCUUGAACUUGUUGGCAACAAUAAGUCUAGAUAGAUGAUUAUCCAAGACAUAACCCGGCUUACAGUCUUGCUCGC